AUCAGGAUGGCCGAGCGGUCCAAGGCGAUGCAUUCAGGUCGCAGCCCUUUCUGUGGUCGUGGGUUCGAAUCCCACUCCUGACA
rfam:Schistosoma mansoni strain Puerto Rico chromosome 3, complete genome